CAAGAGGCCAGUGUGAGUUAGGGAAACGCCCCCUCAUAGAAGUAGGAGACAGCUGGUUUCACUUUGCUGCAUGACCCCGGCCUGUGGAAUUUGCUGGUCCUUCCUUAGAAUGGUGGGAUUAAUACAAUGAAUCUAAUCCUCUUUCAGACUUUGCUGGGACCACCCAAACCAAGAGAGAAAAGAACCACGGUUGGUGGCUUGGCAUGGGUGGGCGCUGAUAUUCUAUCAUUCCUGACUAGCGGGUUCCUCGCUUUAUGAAGCCUUCCUUCCCAAGGGGAGCAGCCACUACCACCACAGGGGCUGCUUCUUUUGCUGCUGCUGCCAUCGCCACCACCAAUCAGGGCCCAGGUCCCUGCUCAGCCACCACCGGGGAAAUUCACAGAGCCCGGGACUGUCCCAGAUAAGGAAACUCAGAUGUGGAGAGAACUCGCCCAGGGCCACGGAACUAGUGAUGGUAUGGCAAGGAUUCAGACCGAAGCCCGGGCUCUAAACCACGACACUGCACCAAUUCUCCACACAUCAGCGAGCUCACCAAAUGGCCCCCUAUACUGCAUCAUAACUUUGUACUGAAUACAGUCCUGCACCGCACAAUGAUGUUCCAAGUCGACGACAGGCCACAUAUACAACGGUGGUCCCAUAAGAUUAUAAUGGAGCUGAAAACUUCCUAUCGCCUAGUGACAUUAUAGCCGUUGUAACAUCAUAGCUCAGUGCAUUACUCAUGUGUUUGUGCUGAUGCUGGUGUAAAUAAACCUACCAUGCUGCCGUCAGUUCUAUAAAAGUGUAGCACGUACAAUUAUGUACAGUACAUAAUACUUGAUAAUAAUAAUAAGCG
rnacentral:lncRNA from 1 species